AGUGGGUUUGUUGUGUUUUGUAUUGGUUUAUAUAUUUUUAGCUUGUUUUUAUUAUUAUUUUUUUCAAUUUUUUUAUCCUAUUAUCUAUUUAUUUAUUUUUUGUUUGUUUGUUUACAGGGUGUGUGUGUGUUUGUUUGUGUUCCUGCUGUUCAAUAUUGCAGCUUGUUUUCUUUCUUAUUGUUAUUUUGUGUUUUAUUCUAUUUCAGUGUUCUGAGGGAGUCUUCAGGUGUUUUUGGGGUGUUUUUGGAGUGUUUUGGGGUGUUUUUGGUGUGUUGUGAAGUGUUUUGAUGUGUUUUGGGGUGGUUAAGGGGUGUUUUGAAGUGUUUUGUGGUGUUGUGGAGGUGUUUUGGGAUUUUUGGUGUGUUUUAAAGUGUUUUGGGAUGUUUUUGGAAUGUUUUGAUGUAUUUUGAGAUGUUUAGGAGUAUUUUUGGAGUAUUUUGGUGUGUUUUUGGAGUGUUUUGGGAUGUGUUUGUAGUGUUUUGGGGUGUUUUGGGGUAUUUUGAAGGUGUUUUGGUGUGUUUUUGGAGUGUUUUGGGGUAUUUUGGGAUGUUUUGGUGUGUUUUGGGUUAUUUUGAGAGUGUUUUGGUGUGUUUUUUGGAGUGUUUCUGGGUGUUUUGGAGUAUUUUGAGGGUGUUUAAAGGUGUUGUGGUAGUUUAAAAUAUAUUGUUAGUUUACUUUUUUUUAACUUUAUUUUCUUAUGCAUUAUUUUAUUUCUUAUUUAUAUUGUGGUGUGUUGUCGGUGUGUCCUAACCUAACCUAACCAGCCUACCCUCUCCUAACCUCCCCUCAACCCACAGGCACUGAUUGGCGUGACAUUCAGCAUAGGCUUCACCGUCGGGCACACUGUGGGGGCUGCGUUCUCCGGCUGGGGAAGUACUGGGUGGUUCGUGGCCUCGGCUGUCUAUGCACGCACUCUCACUGUGGCUAACAUAAUAUUCUUUGCUCUCUUCUUCCAGGAAUUGCUGCCUGAGGGCAGAAGGAGGAGGGACAUCGGUGCCAGUUUGACCGAGGCUUGGGAGGUGAUCAAUCCUAGGGCUCUGUUCUCCGUCAGCUGUGUCAAGGGCCUGGGCAGAGAAGCCUGGAGUUAACGCUGAUCUUCGCGACCCACCACAAGCAUAGUUACGACUCGUUGGCGCAGGACCGCAAGUUUUCCUUCCUGGGCCUGGUCAUGGCAAUUACACAGAGAGGGUUUAUGCGAAGUGUUAAGACUGGAACUGAAAAAGCAACUGCCAAUUAGGUAUGGCACACACCUACAUUGUGAUGCAGCUCCUUGGAGGUGGAGAGCUGGCUGCCUCAGAGGAUCAGGAAACACGAGAGGUUCACAGAGGCUCGCCUCGGGCUUCGGUCGUCGUGAGGAACCUGGUGUCAGCAGUUCACUACGUGCACAGGAAAAGCAUCAGUGUUCACGGAGACCUAAAGCCAGACAGGGGUGAAAAGGGUUGGUGUUGAGGAUAGACAGAAAAGAAAAGAAAGGAAAGGUAAAAAAAGGAAGUUUUUUUGCAUUGAUUUUCCAUCUGCUUAUUUUAAAGAAUUUAUUGCAUGGAAUAUUAUUGAUCUCCAUCAUUUGUAUGGCCUUUAUAAUAAAAAGUAUGAAUUUA